rnacentral:rRNA from 1 species
UGAGGAACAUGACCUUCGGCGGGGGAGUAGCCGGCCCAACGGCCGGGUAAUACCGCGUACGACCACUUUGGGACAUCCCUCGGUGGUGAAAGCAGCAAUGCGCCGAUGGAGUGCCUCGCGGCCUAUCAGCUAGUUGGUGAGGUAACGGCUCACCAAGGCGACGACGGGUAGCUGGUCUGAGAGGAUGGCCAGCCACAUUGGGACUGAGAUACCGGCCCAGACUCCGUACGGGGAGCAG